rnacentral:lncRNA from 1 species
UUCAACGACCAAAGUAAAUAGUUAUACCAAUAUAAAGAGCUAUUUUGGCCAAAAAACAUAUAAAAUAUCCUUACAUAACUGUUGACCAUAAAAACUACCAAGCCUACUUGGCGUGUAGGCCUAGUAAUUAAUAAGCUAACUACGUCAUUCGGUUGUGUGCGGGGUGUGUCAACUUGUCAAUCGAGCUCGGCCAAGAAGUAAAAUAUGUUGAUGUUGCGUUGAGCACGCUGCUGACUUCUUGAUCU